rnacentral:lncRNA from 1 species
CCGACUGAUUUUAAAUGUUUAUGAGAUGUAUGUUACUGGAAUCCUUCUGCAAAUACGUGACCUUCAUAUCACCAGUGGAAAGACCUCAAUAGUUAUCAGAAGAUGUGGUAUGAGUGCCAAUGAAACAACUCUCCAUCCAAGUCACAAUGUUCAAUUAUCUUCAAUUUCUACUUAAGAUUCACAGGCACUUGUCUCAGAAUUGUUUUUCUUAUAUACCUUAAUAUUAAGGUAUAUAGGAAUUUAUUUUCUGAGACAAGUGCCUCUGUUAAGAUUGGCUGUCAAAAUGCUAACAUUCCA